AUGCUGCCGCCAGACCAUGCGACCCGACAGAAACACCCCCUGGGCCACCUGCCACUGCGGCUGCUGAUGCCGCGCCCCUGCCAUGCUGCCGCUGCGGCCUGGCGGGCAGGGGACGGGUCAUCGGGGUUUCCUGCUUCAACAGUGCUUGGACGGAACCGGCGCUGGUCCUCCAUCCCGGCCGGCCGCCCGUAGCCAGCCCUCAGUCACCUCUUCACCGCGCCCUCGGAACCGCGUCCACCUCGCAGGUGCGCCAGAACUACCACCAGGACUCAAAGGCCGCCAUCAACCGCCAGAUCAACCUGGAGCUCUAUGCUUCCGGCGUUUACCUGUCCAUGUUCUACUACUUGGACCGCGAUGAUGUGGCUUUGAAGAACUUUGCCAAAUACUUUCUUCACCAAUCUCAUGAGGAAAGGGAACAUGCUGAGAACUGAUGAAGCUGCAGAACCAAGGAGGUGGCCGAAUCUUCCUUCAGGAUAUCAAGAAACCAGACUAUGACGACUGGGAGAGCGGGCUGAAUGCGAUGGAGUGUGCGUUACAUUUGGAAAGAAAUGUGAAUCAGUCACUACUGGAACUGCACAAACUGGCCACUGACAAAAAUGACCCCCAUUUGUGUGACUUCAUUGAGACACAUUACCUGAAUGAGCAGGUGAAAGCCACCAAAGAAUUGGGUGACCACGUGACCAAUUUGCGCAGGAUGGGAGCACCCGAAUCUGGCUUGGCAGAGUAUCUCUUUGACAAGCACACCCUGGGAGACAGCGAUAAUGAAAGCUAAGCCUCAGGCUAAUUUCCCCAUAGCCAUGGGGUGAAUUCCCUGGUCACCAAGGCAGUGCAUGCAUGUUGGGGUUUCCUUUACCUUUUCUGUAAGUUGUACCAGAACAUCCACUUAAGUUCUUUGAUUUGUACCAUUCGUUCAAAUAAAGAAAUUUGGUACCC